UACGUAGGGUGCGAGCGUUAAUCGGAAUUACUGGGCGUAAAGUGUGCGCAGGCGGCGUCGCAAGUCGAGUGUGAAAGCCCCGGGCUUAACUUGGGAAUUGCGCUCGAAACUACGAUGCUGGAGUGUGGCAGAGGAAGGUGGAAUUCCACGUGUAGCGGUGAAAUGCGUAGAGAUCCGGAAGAACACCGGUGGCGAAGGCGGCCUGCUGGGCAGUUUAGCUGACACUGAGGCGCGACAGCGUGGGGAGCAAACAGG
rnacentral:rRNA from 1 species